UCCGGUUUGUCACCUGUGUUCGAGUUCCCGAAGGCACCAAUCCAUCUCUGGAAAGUUCUCGACAUGUCAAGGCCAGGUAAGGUUCUUCGCGUUGCAUCGAAUUAAACCACAUACUCCACCGCUUGUGCGGGCCCCCGUCAAUUCCUUUGAGUUUCAGUCUUGCGACCGUACUCCCCAGGCGGCGAACUUAACGCGUUAGCUUCGAUACUGCGUGCCAAAUUGCACCCAACAUCCAGUUCGCAUCGUUUAGGGCGUGGACUAC
rnacentral:misc_RNA from 1 species